rnacentral:rRNA from 1 species
UACGGGGGGGGCAAGCGUUGUUCGGAAUUACUGGGCGUAAAGGGCUCGUAGGCGGCCAACUAAGUCGGAUGUGAAAUCCCCAGGCUCAACCUGGGAACUGCAUCCGAUACUGGACGGCUUGAAUUCGGGAGAGGGAUGCAGAAUUCCAGGUGUAGCGGUGAAAUGCGUAGAUAUCUGGAGGAAUACCGGUGGCGAAGGCGGCAUCCUGGACCGACAUUGACGCUGAGGAGCGAAAGCCAGGGGAGCAAACGGG